CAGAAUUCUACCAAUAACCAUGAUGUAUUUACUGGUUGCCGUUUUGUGUGUAUCGGGAGGAUAUGUAUCUGCUCAAGCGCCGGCUUUUUGUAAAAAUGCUGAAUGUCCCCAGUUUACUACCCUAUCAUCAAAUCAGAACUAUGCCAUCAGACAAUAUGGACCAUUAACAUGGGCAACUACAUCUUUUGUUGGACAAUGGAAAUCUAAUAUUCUUGGAGAAUUGUUUGGUCGUUUGUUUAAUUAUAUCCAGGGAAACAAUACUUUGGGACAAGUAAUGCCAAUGACGGUACCAGUUUUAACAAGAAUUGAGAGUGCGGGUCAAACUGGAACUAAAUACACAAUGCAUUUUAUGAUUCCUGCUAGUAAUUCUCGUAAUAUCCCUGGACCAGUUGAUCCAACUGUUAGUUUAAUGACUAUCCCACCAGCUACUUACUAUAUCAGGUCUUUUGGUGGAUAUGCUAAUGGUCAGAAAUUUAUGACAGAAUUACAAACAUUGGUGAACAACAUCAACAAUCCUCAAUCAUACGACGAUAAUUUCUUCAUGACCGCCACCUACGAUAGUCCUUCAGU